rnacentral:rRNA from 1 species
GAUGAACGCUGGCGGCGUGCCUAAUACAUGCAAGUCGAGCGAACAGACGAGGAGCUUGCUCCUCUGACGUUAGCGGCGGACGGGUGAGUAACACGUGGAUAACCUACCUAUAAGACUGGGAUAACUUCGGGAAACCGGAGCUAAUACCGGAUAAUAUAUUGAACCGCAUGGUUCAAUAGUGAAAGACGGUUUUGCUGUCACUUAUAGAUGGAUCCGCGCCGCAUUAGCUAGUUGGUAAGGUAACGGCUUACCAAGGCAACGAUGCGUAGCCGACCUGAGAGGGUGAUCGGCCACACUGGAACUGAGACACGGUCCAGACUCCUACGGGAGGCAGCAGUAGGGAAUCUUCCGCAAAGGGCGAAAGCCUGACGGAGCAACGCCGCGUGAGUGAUGAAGGUCUUCGGAUCGUAAAACUCUGUUAUUAGGGAAGAACAAAUGUGUAGGUAACUAUGCACGUCUUGACGGUACCUAAUCAGAAAGCCACGGCUAACUACGUG